AUGCAGGAAAAGUUACAAUACAGCUUGUGUGAUGCUGUUUUGUCCUUCCACCUGUAAACAGUAUUUGGGAAACACAACUCUGACUUUAAUCUCAGAAAA
rnacentral:snoRNA from 12 species